rnacentral:rRNA from 1 species
GACGAACGCUGGCGGCGUGCUUAACACAUGCAAGUCGAACGGAAAGGCCCGGCUUUGGUGGGGUGCUCGAGUGGCGAACGGGGGAGUAACACGUGAGUAACCUGCCCUUGACUUUGGGGGAACUUCAGGAAAGUGGGGCUCAUACCGGAUAGGAGCUCCUGCUGCAGGGUGGGGGUUGGAAAGUUUCGUCGGUUGGGGGUGGAAUCGCGGUUGAUUAGUUUGUUGGUAGGGUGGUAGCCGACCAAGGCGACGACGCAUAGCUGGCCUGAGAGGCUGAUCGGCCACACUGGGGCUGAGACACAGCCCAGACUCGUACGGGAGGCAGCGGUGGAGUAUACUGGACGAUGGGCGAAAGCCUAGCCCAGCAAUGCCGCGUGAGUGAUGAAGGCCUUAGGGUUGUGAAGCUCUUUUAGCCGGGAUGAUAAUGACAGUACCGGGAAAAUAAGCUCCGGCUAACUCCGUG